rnacentral:rRNA from 1 species
CACGUAGGCGGCUAGGUCCGUCCGAUGUGAAAGCCCCCGGCUCAACCGGGGAAUUGCAUCGGAUACAGCCUGGCUCGAGGACGGUUGGGGUGAGUGGAGCUCCUGGUGGAGCGGUGAAAUGCGUAGAUAUCAGGAGGAACACCGGUGGCGAAAGCGGCUCACUGGACCGUUUCUGACGCUGAGGUGCGAAAGCUAGGGAGCAAACG